rnacentral:tRNA from 1 species
GGGCGAUUAGCUCAGCUGGCAGAGCGUCUCGUUUACACCGAGAAUGUCGGCGGUUCGAAUCCGUCAUCGCCCACCA